UUAAUAUGCUGUCUAGGUUGGUCAUAACUUUCCUUCAAAGGAGUAAGUGUAUUUUAGUAAACCUCACAAGCUAAGAAUAAUGUAUUUUCCUUCUCAUUCCUCUUUUUGUCAAGUCCUAAUGGCUGUAAAUCAUAGGGAUGAGGACUAGAAAUAAAUGGGGAAUGCAACAGGGUAUGCAUAUUUAUACAACAAUGAUGAGGCAUUGCCAAUAAACAGGAGAAAUGACAUGGGGCAUUGUGCAUCAUAGAGGCAUUGCAGUGUAUGAAAUAUCUGCAUUGUUUGUACUUUAUGGCUGAAGUUAGGCUGCUUCAGUAUCUGGCCAAAAACAUAUUGGGGCAUCAGUACAUAAAUAUCAUAGCCAUGACACACAGAUGUUUAGGUGACACUCUGUUCUUCAGACUCCCCAGAACCAAAGGUUUUCUGCAAUCACACAUUUACAGUAAAUACUACAUUUAAAAUCAGAAAGCAGGAGCUAGGAAAAAACUCAAGAUCAUAACGUAGAAACCUUCAAUUCACAGAGGAGGAAUCUGAGAGGAAACCUGCCUCUCUGAGUGCAUGCAGCUCUUUACUACUAGAGAUGAAACCAGAAUGCAGGUCUAGGUGAUUUCUUUCUUUCUUUUUUAAUUGAAUAAUAUCUAAGUGUUGAGCUAUGUGCUGGGUACAAAAUAUGAAAUUUAUACUCACUGAUACUUCUCUACUGUCCUCCACCCAACCUCCUGCCACAAUAUCAUACAAUCUUACUCACAAAGAUUUUUUCCAUAAAAGAAACACUACAUGUUUUAGGGAUACAGAAUUUUUCUUAGUUGUAAAAUACAUCACCAUAUACUGUGCAGAAGGGGUGUAGAUAUGAGCUGGAGUGGGACCUGAAGAGGAAAUAAAAUUAAGACAAAGCCAAACAAGAGAAGAGUUGUGCCUUGAGUAAUGACAGUGUGCAUGCGUGCAUGCUAAGUCACUACAGUCAUGUCAGAUUCUUUGGGACCCUAUGGACUAUACCCUGCCAGGCUCCUACAAAGACAGUGAACCAUGAACCAAAGCAUGAAAUUGGCAACUGUUUGUAACUGAGGUUAAAAAAAAUUGUUAUGUCACUAUUAACUAUUAAUUAUAUGACAUGGAAGUUGUAUUUUGUACAGUGUAGAGAUAACAGUCUUGUUCGGCUCAGUUCAGUUGCUCAGUCAUGUCCGACUCUUUGCGACCCCAUGAACCAC
rnacentral:lncRNA from 1 species